rnacentral:rRNA from 1 species
CCCCUAGAUGUUCUGGGCCGCACGCGCGCUACACUGAACAGUUCAACAAGUCUUAACCUUGGCCGAUAGGUCUGGGUAAUAUUUGAACGCUGUUCGUGAUUGGGAUAGACCUUUGCAAUUAUGGGUCUUCAACGAGGAAUUCCUAGUAAACGCAAGUCAUCAGCUUGCAUUGAUUACGUCCCUGCCCUUUGUACACACCGCCCGUCGCACCUACCGAUUGAAUGGUCCGGUGAAAUCUCGGGACGGCGGCUUGGUCGCUUGCGUCCGACUGCUGAAACUUGAUUAAACCAUAUCAUUUAGAGGAAGGUGAAGUCGUAACA